UCGUCAGUAAGGUACAUCCUUACCUGUUACUCCGUAAGGAGUUGCAGAAAAUGAUGAAUGGAGUGAAUGAGCUGGUGAUUAAUACAGGCUCCCACCCCUGAGGAACUAACAACCCCUCAGAGGCCAUUCUGAU